UUUCCGUAGGUGAACCUGCGGUAGGAUCAUUCAUAAUAAGUGUUUUAUGGCACUUUUUUAAAUCCAUAUCCACCUUGUGUGCAAUGUCAGGGUUGAUUUUUCUCUCGAGAGGAUCAACCCCAAACAUCAACUAUAUCUCAACUCUUUGUCUGAAAAAUAUUAUGAAUAAAACAAUUCAAAAUACAACUUUCAACAACGGAUCUCUUGGCUCUC
rnacentral:misc_RNA from 1 species